AUGAUCCGCAAACCUCAUACACUACUAAGGAAUCACCCACAGAAGUAUAUACACUUAAUGGUACAAUAAUCAAUCUUAAGAUAACCCUAACCGUGGAGUAUAAUAAUAAGACACAUAAUAAUAGGUGGAUCCUAUGUCAAAUAAUGCAAAAGUCGAUUGAACAUUUCUGUCUUCAAAUGUGGUAUAGGACUUCCUGUAUGUGAUUUUGACA
rnacentral:lncRNA from 1 species